rnacentral:lncRNA from 1 species
AAUUUAUAUUAAAUUUUGGGUAAACUUUAAAAACCACUACUGUGGUUUCGCACUUUCUCAUUUUAGUAUCCUAUGGGUUAAAGUAUAUCAAUUUAGUGACAUGUGGUUUCAUUUUUUCUCUUUACGUCAGCUUCUUCAUUAAUAUUUUAUUAAAUUAAAUACAGAAAAUUUUAGAUACCCCAUCUAAAUUUAUCGAAUAUUUACUUUAAUAUAUACCAUUUAGUUUUAACUUUUUCACUGAUUUAAAAAAAAAAUAGUAAAAUUAAUAAUAAAAAAAGUGAAACCAUAGGGUACUAAAUUGAAACCACAGGGGUGGGCUUGUGUGUGUUAUUAGCAGCAUCAGCUUUACUAUGAUGAAAAAUAUCUAUCUAGGGCCCUAGCUAAUCAUCGAUAUAAUUCAAUAAGUUUAUUAUAUAAAUAGUAAAAAUGAUACUUACUAUAAUAAUAACGGUGUAUAGCGUUACUUUCAAAUGUUAGUAUAGGUAAAAAAAAAUGCUACUAAAUUUCCGACACUUUUUGAAAGUGUUACUAUAUGUGGGUCGCUAUAUGUAGAACCGCCUUGAUGUUUGGCACCCAUUCCUCCAACGAUCUGUGACGGAGGAACACGUGGCGAUCGUAGUUUUCUAUGGUCUAUGCGAGAUCCUCGCGGCCGAACUCCAGUCGUCGGAAUCUUAUCUCGUCGGCUGCGACGGCAGAGAAUGAGAAUAGAAAAUAGUGAUCAAUUCUUUUUUUUCUUUUCUACUUGUAAUCAGACCAAGUGGGCUGGCUAUAUGGGGUUAGUUGGGUAGAAAAAACUUUUUAUAUUUUAUUGUAUUGGACUUUAUAUUUAGGUCUUAAUAGAUUUUUUUAAAAAAAUUUUGGUAUAAAUAAAAUACUUAUAUUAAAAUAUUUUAAAAAUAUAUCUGUAUAACCUAAUUCUUUUAUAGAGAAUGUUAAUAAUUAUACCUUCCAUUC